rnacentral:lncRNA from 1 species
AUAUGUUUAAAAUAUGCAAAUAUAUAUAUAUAUAUAUAUAUAUAUAGUUGAGAAUUCUGUAGUGUUGUUUAAUUAGAUUUAUCAUGUAAAUUGACUAUGCAUGCUAACUUACUUUAAGAUGAUAAUAUAUUCAAAAAAUAAUACAAUAUGUAAUGCAGUGUAUUUUAAGAAUUAUUCCUUUUAAAUAGAAGUAAUUAUUAUUUUCUUCUAGAAAAGAUAAUAUAGAUUUAAUAUUUUAUAUUUAAUAAAAAUAAGUAAAAAAUAAUAUGUUAAAUUCAGUUGAAAAUUUCUCAAUACCUAUGGCAUAAAAUAUAAUAUAUGUGAUGUGUUAAAAUACAUUUUUCCAAUAAAAGAAUCUCCGCUCAAAAUAUAAAUCGUCAUUUUUACACUACAGAGAUCUAUAUAAAACAUUGAGGGUUCAAACACA